rnacentral:lncRNA from 1 species
AUGAUAACUGCUUAUCCAGGUUUGGUGUCCUGUGAUGAGGUAACAUAUCUAAGAUCCAUGCUACCUGCAUACAACUUCAAGAAACUCCCGGAGAAAAUGAUGAAAAACAUCUCCAACCCAGGGAAGAUUUAUGAAUAUUUUGGCCAUAGAAGAUGUAUAAUGUUUGGGAAGAGACAUUUGGCCAGAGAGAGAAACAAAAAUCACCCUUUGUUAGACCGGGAGAAAGAAUUGGAAGCAUUCCGAAUGGCACAGCAAGGGUGUUUGUACCAGAAGAAGGGACAAGCAGUUUUGUAUGGAGGUGAAAAGGGCUAUGGAAAAAGCCAGCUAUUGGCUGAAAUAAACUUCUUGGCCCAGAAAGAGGGGCAUAGGUAAAGACUCCUGCUUUCUGACUUAGUCAGAGCCUACUUCUCUUGGGGCUUCUUUCCCUUGUUGGUGAGACUCUUGUGUCACUAGAUUCAGCACCCUUGGACUGGUGGACUGUGUGUGGUACAGGGGACUCCCAGUGAUCAUAGUAAUGUUCACCAGGGUGUUGCCAUUGAAACUGAAAGAAGCAGAUUCCAAGCGGUGCUUCUAUGCCAUCCAGACCCUCAUGGCUAUCUUCUUUGAGAUUGAUACAUGCCCAGCCUAUUACCGGCAAGAGUGCCUACAAAGACAGCUUCGGCAGAUGAUGAAGGAACCACUUCACUGCCUUUUCAAUGACCUCUUCUUUGUGAAGGUAAUGAAGACAGUGGCUUUCCGAAUUGGGUUACUGUUAUUUUUUGUGGGUAGUCAGACCCAAGAUUGUUUUCUAAUCAAAUACCUUAGGGUCAUAUACAUAUAUAUAGGACACACACACACGCACUAAGAACACAUAGUAAUAGUAGGACUGAGAUUUAAAAUCACUUUGACACCAAAAGUCAGGAUUUUUCCUUUUUGAGGAGAAUGGAUUCUAGGAUUGAAUCUGACACUUGGUAGUUGUAUGUUCUGGAGCAAAUCACUUAGCCUCUCUGAGC